rnacentral:rRNA from 1 species
GACGAACGCUGGCGGCGUGCUUAACACAUGCAAGUCGAGCGAGGACUUCGGUCCUAGCGGCGGACGGGUGAGUAACGCGUGGGAACGUGCCCUUUGCUACGGAAUAGCCCCGGGAAACUGGGAGUAAUACCGUAUGUGCCCGAGGGGGGAAAGAUUUAUCGGCAAAGGAUCGGCCCGCGUUGGAUUAGGUAGUUGGUGGGGUAAUGGCCUACCAAGCCGACGAUCCAUAGCUGGUUUGAGAGGAUGAUCAGCCACACUGGGACUGAGACACGGCCCAGACUCCUACGGGAGGCAGCAGUGGGGAAUCUUAGACAAUGGGCGCAAGCCUGAUCUAGCCAUGCCGCGUGAGCGAUGAAGGCCUUAGGGUUGUAAAGCUCUUUCAGUGGGGAAGAUAACGACGGUACCCACAGAAGAAGCCCCGGCUAACUCCGUGCCAGCAGCCGCAGUAAUAC